rnacentral:lncRNA from 12 species
GUAAAUCAAGCCUCACUGAAGAGUAAGUGGAAACAAAAAAAUUAGUAACUUACAAUAUUGUUAUUCUAUUCACAUUAAAUACAAAGUCAGUCGUAUUAAAAAUAUAUUAAUACACGGCUUGGUCAGUCGCGACAUUCCAAGGUAUGUUAUCUCUGGAUAACAGCCGGUAAAAGCUAAUAACACAGGCUCAUCCGGGUAACAGCAGUCGGCGCUGUACUCUAGCUUGAACUAUUUUUUUCUUGGUGGAAGCUUUGCGUUUGUUUAGCUAAUAAAAUAUUGAAACUCAAUUCAAAAUGGUGUACAAUUGUUUAAUUAUGUCAUCCUGGUAUCGCAGACUUGUUUCAUACCAACGCAGCUGCUGCCAUUUUGCUACGAUUGUUUUGUACGCUCUAAUGGAUUAUAAGAUAACUAACAAACUGGUUCCCAUUGUGUCCGAAUGCAUCGUCGUCCCGCCUUCCAAACUGAAAGUCCAAAAGGGUGAACUCCAAAAGCAGAUGACAUCAACCCCUCUCCUGAUCGACAGUGCAAGCAAGGUAAAGGGUCACAUGGCAGCAUCACUGAGUCUAUUGUACUGCAGUGGGAAAGCCACACGGGCUGUAAUGAGCUGGAGGGCUUGGCUGUAAUCUGCCAACACUGCUGCAAUAUAAAUCACAACAUAAAAACACUAUAAUAGCACAUUGUUCAAAGCCAGUAAAAGCUUGGGUCCAAGGCACUAUUUUCACACGUUUGGAAUGAAAGUGCAUUUUUGGCGCAUUGUGCUCGGCUUGUAAAAAACGCUCCUUUCACGAGUCAGGUGAGUUUACGUGGCAAAGCACGCUUUCAAGUCGCAAAGUCAUAGCGAGUCUUUCCUGCAUAGUAGCGAGUGCUUUAUGACCUGUUGAUACUCGCAUAUCUUUUUUUUCCACCGCCACGGUUCCUGGAAGAAGCUCGGACAUUCCUGGUCUUCUUCUCACCGAGCACCCUUCUCUGCUUCCAAGUCACCAAGCUUCCUGGGCCCUCUCCAUUUCACCCAGGAUCACUCUGAGCCCCCUGGAAUGUGGGAUUAAUGGUCCUGUGCAUCGUGCAGGCCGUUUGGGAUAUCCGAGACCUUUCCAACUCCAAAGCACGUUCUCUUAUCAAUAACACCCGAUCAUCAUGAUGUCAGUGGUCAGGGGCACAUUUGGAAGUAGAUUAUAGAAAUAGCUGAUUAAAAAUUCACCACCAAGCCAGAAGAAGUAGCCUUUCAUUUUGCAGAAGGACUAGAAGCAACACUAGCCCAAAAUGAUGAUGGACUGAUGGGAUUAGCAAGCUAAGCAAAACAGAAAUUGAUGCAUUUCAAUAUGAUAGCUCACAUUUUAACAGACCGUCA